ACUGAUCGAAAGAAACGGAGGCAAAGAGAGAAAGCAGAGAAGCGGCAUUUUGUACGGAACAUUAUCAAACGUUAAAGCUUUGUGGCAGGAAGUUGUCAAUCAAGCACCAAAAAUCAAUGACCUGAAAGAAAGAUGGCCUGCUCUUUUUGAUGCAGUUCGGAUAAACCAAGAAUUCAGAAGGAUCACCACUGUUAACCUGGAGACAACA